UGAGUGAUGCUUAGGAAGCUGCCUAUGACCGGGGGACAACAUCUCGAAAGGGGUGGUAAUACCGUAUACAUCCUACCCGACAAAGCAAGGGACCUUCGGGCCUUGCGCUAAUAAAUGAGGCUAAGUCGGAUUAACUAGUUGCCGGGGUAAAGGCCUACCACCGUGACGAUCUGCAUUGGGUCUGAGAGGAUGAUCCGCCACUCUGGGACUGAGACACUGGCCAGACUCCUACCCGAGGUCCCCGUGGGGAAUAUUGGACAAUGGGGGGAACCCUGAUCCACCCAUGCCGCGUGUGUGAAGAAGGCCUUUUGCUUGGAAAGCACUUUACCAGAGGAUGACGCUACCGAGAUUAAUACUCUUGGAUAGUGGACGUUACUCGCAUAAUAAGCACCGGCUAACUCUGUGCCCUUCUACUACCUAAUACAGAGGGUGCAAGCGUUAAUCGGAUUUACUGGGCGUAAAGCGCGCGUACGUGGCCAAUUAAGUCAAAUGUGAAAUCCCCGAGCUUAACUUGGGAAUUGCAUUCGAUACUGCCUGGCUAGAGUAUGGGAGAGGAUGCUAGAAUUCCAGGAGUAGCUGGAAAUGCUUAGAGAUCUGGAGGAAUACCGAUGACUAACGCA
rnacentral:rRNA from 1 species